rnacentral:tRNA from 1 species
GCGCCUAUAGUCUAGUGGCUAGGACGCCGCAUUCUCAGUGCGGAGAGGAGAGUUCGAAUCUCUCUAGGCGUACCA